rfam:Aedes albopictus isolate Foshan contig49173, whole genome shotgun sequence.
UAGCCUAGUGGUUAAGGCUACGGAUCGCCAAUCCAGAGACGGCGGGUUCGAUUCCCGU